rnacentral:rRNA from 1 species
GACGGGCGGUGUGUACGGGCAGGCUCGAGUGUGGUAGGGGAGACUGGAACUCCUGGUGUAGCGGUGAAAUGCGCAGAUAUCAGGAAGAACACCGAUGGCGAAGGCAGGUCUCUGGGCCAUUACUGACACUGAGGAGCGAAAGCAUGGGUAGCGAACAGGAUUAGAUACCCUGGUAGUCCAUGCCGUAAACGUUGGGCACUAGAUGUGGGGAACAUUCCACGUUUUCCGCGUCGUAGCUAACGCAUUAAGUGCCCCGCCUGGGGAGUACGGCCGCAAGGCUAAAACUCAAAGGAAUUGACGGGGGCCCGCACAAGCGGCGGAGCAUGCUGAUUAAUUCGAUGCAACGCGAAGAACCUUACCAAGGCUUGACAUGCACCGGACGACUCCAGAGAUGGGGUUUUGUUCGGAUUGGUGCACAGGUGGUGCAUGGUUGUAGUCAGCUCAUGUCGUGAGAUGUUGGGUUAAGUCCCGCAACGAGCGCAACCCUUGUUUUAUGUUGCCAGCACGUAAUGGUGGGGACUCAUAGGAGACUCCCGGGGUCAACUCGGAGGAAGGUGGGGACGACGUCAAUCAUCAUGCCCCUUAUGUCUUGGGCUUCAAGCAUGCUACAAUGGUCGGUACAAUGGGUUGCGAAACUGUGAGGUGGAGCGAAUCCCAAAAAGCCGACCUCAGUUCGGAUUGGGGUGAGCAACUCGACCCCAUGAAGUCGGAGUCGCUAGUAAUCGCAGAUCAGCAACGCUGCGGUGAAUACGUUCCCGGGCCUUGUACACACCGCCCGUA